rnacentral:rRNA from 1 species
GCUCGAUGAGUAGGGCGGGACACGUGGUAUCCUGUCUGAAUAUGGGGGGACCAUCCUCCAAGGCUAAAUACUCCUGACUGACCGAUAGUGAACCAGUACCGUGAGGGAAAGGCGAAAAGAACCCCGGCGAGGGGAGUGAAAAAGAACCUGAAACCGUGUACGUACAAGCAGUGGGAGCACAGGUUUACCUGUGUGACUGCGUACCUUUUGUAUAAUGGGUCAGCGACUUAUAUUCUGUAGCAAGGUUAACCGUAUAGGGGAGCCGUAGGGAAACCGAGUCUUAACCGGGCGUUAAGUUGCAGGGUAUAGACCCGAAACCCGGUGAUCUAGCCAUGGGCAGGUUGAAGGUUGGGUAACACUAACUGGAGGACCGAACCGACUAAUGUUGAAAAAUUAGCGGAUGACCUGUGGCUGGGGGUGAAAGGCCAAUCAAACCGGGAGAUAGCUGGUUCUCCCCGAAAGCUAUUUAGGUAGCGCCUCGUGAAUUCAUCUCCGGGGGUAGAGCACUGUUUCGGCUAGGGGGCCAUCCCGGCUUACCAACCCGAUGCAAACUGCGAAUACCGGAGAAUGUUAUCACGGGAGACACACGGCGGGUGCUAACGUCCGUCGUGAAGAGGGAAACAACCCAGACCGCCAGCUAAGGUCCCAAAGUCAUGGUUAAGUGGGAAACGAUGUGGGAAGGCCCAGACAGCCAGGAUGUUGGCUUAGAAGCAGCCAUCAUUUAAAGAAAGCGUAAUAGCUCACUGGUCGAGUCGGCCUGCGCGGAAGAUGUAACGGGGCUAAACCAUGCACCGAAGCUGCGGCAGCGACGCUGAUGCGUUGUUGGGUAGGGGAGCGUUCUGUAAGCCUGCGAAGGUGACCUGUGAGGGUUGCUGGAGGUAUCAGAAGUGCGAAUGCUGACAUAAGUAACGAUAAAGCGGGUGAAAAGCCCGCUCGCCGGAAGACCAAGGGUUCCUGUCCAACGUUAAUCGGGGCAGGGUGAGUCGACCCCUAAGGC